rnacentral:rRNA from 1 species
UAACACGUGAGCAACCUGCCCCAAGCUUUGGGAUAACCCUCGGAAACGGGGGCUAAUACCGAAUAGGACUUCUGGCCGCAUGGCUGGUGGUGGAAAGUUUUUCGGCUUGGGAUGGGCUCGCGGCCUAUCAGCUUGUUGGUGGGGUGAUGGCCUACCAAGGCGACGACGGGUAGCCGGCCUGAGAGGGCGACCGGCCACACUGGGACUGAGACACGGCCCAGACUCCUACGGGAGGCAGCAGUGGGGAAUAUUGCACAAUGGGCGGAAGCCUGAUGCAGCGACGCCGCGUGAGGGAUGACGGCCUUCGGGUUGUAAACCUCUUUCAGCAGGGACGAAGCGAGAGUGACGGUACCUGCAGAAGAAGCACCGGCCAACUACGUGCCAGCAGCCGCGGUAAGACGUAGGGUGCGAGCGUUGUCCGGAUUUAUUGGGCGUAAAGAGCUCGUAGGCGGCUUGUCGCGUCGACCGUGAAAACUUGGGGCUCAACCCCAAGCCUGCGGUCGAUACGGGCAGGCUAGAGUUCGGUAGGGGAGACUGGAAUUCCUGGUGUAGCGGUGAAAUGCGCAGAUA